UUAAGUGUUUAUAAAACAUUUCAUCCUUUUGUUAUAAUUAUUCUUCUUAAUAAUCCUCUGAAUAACCCUUAACUUUAACUUUAUACAAUAUAGCAGUAUUGCUUAUAAUAGUAAACAAUAGUACUACAUGAUAAGAUUUCCCCUGUUUUCAUUUCAGCCCCCUUAAUUGUACCAGUAAAAGGGAAUAAAUAAAACAAACAGACAACAGGUUGAGUUAAAACGUUUAUAUUUAAGUAGCAACGGUCGGAUGAAGAGUUCAAACGGCAAAAUAGCCAAGAGUCCAUAUUGCAGGGGUGUGGAUAGGGUGGGUAAAGGAACUGGUAGGUUGGAUGGAUGGAAAGGGUGGGAGGGGGGACCGAAAGGGCCUGUUUGAAUGAUGGAGCCCACAUGUGAACGAGAGGGAAUCACAUUAUAAGAUGGUUGUAUGUGGGGGAGAGGAAGGGGGUACGCUUGUAGUAGGUUUUAAAUUGUGUUGUUGAGGAGAAAGUGGGAGAGAGUUAAAUAAAGAGAAAGACAAAUUGGUGUAGUUUAGCCCUAGGUCAGUCCCGAAUGAGCAGAACCAUGGUCAGAGGAAUUCUAGCCAUGGCCAUCCAGCUUUUUGGUCAUAUAUCAAGGAUGGCAUUGGCCUAAGUGUUCUUCCUGUUGUUGAGACGGUGUGAUAUGAAGGAGAUUUGACCACUGUUUCUAACAAGUGUAACUACCAUGUAGAGGUGUCCCUCAUUGGCUCAUACAUACAUAUAUACAUAUAUAAGAGAGUAAGGUGUGAUUUGAGGGAGAUUUGGUUGCUAUUUCUACCAGGUCCAGCUACCAUGUAGAGGCCUCCCUCAUUGGCUCAUACAUAUAUACAUAGAUAAGAGAGUAGGGUGUGAUUUGAGGGAGAUUUGGUUGCUAUUUCUACCAGGUCCAGCUACCAUGUAGAGGCCUCCCUCAUUGGCUCAUACAUAUAUACAUAGAUAAGAGAGUAGGGUGUGAUUUGAGGGAGAUUUGGCUGCUAUUUCUAGCAGGUCCAGCUACUACAUAUAUACAGAUAUAUAUAUUUACUAGCAGUAUAACUCGACCAUGUCCAGGUGUGACUUAUUACGCCAUCUACGAUAAGUCUUGCUAGGUGAAAAUCAACUAAAAAAGAAAGCCUUACAACGAAAAAACCCUUAUGGUGUAAAUAUGUUCAUAAUUCAAAAGAUGAUGAAAUUAAUAGGGAAAGUCUGAAGGCUGUUUUGCGUUAAAUUAUUAAGUGUAUGUAAAUUUCAUCCGUCUAAUUGGCUAUACAAAUGCUUGUGCAAAACAACUUUUUGCACUGUCCUGAUUACACAUAGCAGGGUAAUCCCUUUUAGCAGGAGCUAGGACGGCAAUUUGUGAUGAAGCAAUUGCUGGCGAUCUGUUGCUACACAGUUUCACCAGAAUUCUAUCAGAUUGGGCAGAUGUUGAUGCACCAUUUUGCAUUAUAUUCAAAGUAGCUACUGGAAUGCGGUGAAUUGCUGCAGUCUGUUGUUGUCAUUUUAAACCGAUUGGCUUCUUUCCCCAGCAAAAUCUCUUUGGUGGCAUAAUCUAUGUAUAUAUUAAACAGAACAACAAAAGUUAUAAUAGAUGGCAGGGUCGGUACUUUUCACAUUUCUGUAAUUUUUCAGAUUAACAUCCGCACGAUUACCCAACCCUAACCCUAAAACCCUAAACCUAACCCCAAAACCGUAACCAUAAUACUAACCCUCACCGUAACCCUGAGGGGGUCUUAUUAAACAUCUUCAUUUUUUAUCUCUAAAGAUUAAAAAAAAAAAAAAAAAAAUGAAAAAUUUUAGUAAGAGCCCUUAAUGCAGGCCCUAGGUA